GCAGUGGGGAAUAUUGCACAAUGGGGGAAACCCUGAUGCAGCAACGCCGCGUGAAGGAUGACGGUUUUCGGAUUGUAAACUUCUUUUCUUAGUGACGAAGACAGUGACGGUAGCUAAGGAAUAAGCAUCGGCUAACUACGUGCCAGCAGCCGCGGUAAUACGUAGGAUGCAAGCGUUAUCCGGAUUUACUGGGUGUAAAGGGAGCGCAGGCGGGACUGCAAGUUGGAUGUGAAAUACCGUGGCUUAACCACGGAACUGCAUCCAAAACUGUAGUUCUUGAGUGAAGUAGAGGCAAGCGGAAUUCCGAGUGUAGCGGUGAAAUGCGUAGAUAUUCGGAGGAACACCAGUGGCGAAGGCGGCUUGCUGGGCUUUAACUGACGCUGAGGCUCGAAAGUGUGGGGAGCAAACAGGAUUAGAUACCCUGGUAGUCCACACUGUAAACGAUGAUAGCUAGGUGUGGGGGGUCUGACCCCUUCCGUGCCGGAGUUAACGCAAUAAGCUAUCCACCUGGGGAGUACGACCGCAAGGUUGAAACUCAAAGGAAUUGACGGGGGCCCGCACAAGCAGUGGAUUAUGUGGUUUAAUUCGAAGCAACGCGAAGAACCUUACCAGGGCUUGACAUCCUACUAACGAAGUAGAGAUACAUCAGGUGCCCUUCGGGGAAAGUAGAGACAGGUGGUGCAUGGUUGUCGUCAGCUCGUGUCGUGAGAUGUUGGGUUAAGUCCCGCAACGAGCGCAACCCCUGCCAUUAGUUGCUACGCAAGAGCACUCUAAUGGGACCGCUACCGACAAGGUGGAGGAAGGUGGGGACGACGUCAAAUCAUCAUGCCCCUUAUGACCUGGGCUACACACGUACUACAAUGGAUGUUAACAGAGGGAAGCAAGACAGUGAUGUGGAGCAAACCCCUAAAAACAUUCUCAGUUCAGAUUGCAGGCUGCAACCCGCCUGCAUGAAGAUGGAAUUGCUAGUAAUCGCGGAUCAGAAUGCCGCGGUGAAUACGUUCCCGGGCCUUGUACACACCGCCCGUCACACCAUGGGAGUCGGUAACACCCGAAGCCAGUAGCCUAACCGUAAGGAGGGCGCUGUCGAAGGUGGGAUUGAUGACUGGGGUGAAGUCGUAACAAGGUAGCCGUAUCGGAAGGUGCGGCUG
rnacentral:rRNA from 1 species